rnacentral:rRNA from 1 species
UACGAGGGGGGGCGAGCGUUGUCCGGAAUUAUUGGGCGUAAAGAGCUCGUAGGCGGUUUGUUGCGUCGGCUGUGAAAUCCCGAGGCUCAACCUCGGGUCUGCAGUCGAUACGAGCAAACUAGAGUGUUGCAGGGGAGACUGGAAUUCCUGGUGUAGCGGUGAAAUGCGCAGAUAUCAGGAGGAACACCGGUGGCGAAGGCGGGUCUCUGGGCCGUAACUGACGCUGGAGGAGCGAAAGCAUGGGGAGCGAACAGG